AGAUCAAACGCAAUAAGGCACACGGUGGAUGCCUUGGCACCAAGAGGCGAUGAAGGGCGCGAUAAGCUGCGAUAAGCUUGGGGGAGUCGCACAUAGGCCGUGAUCCCAAGAUGCCCGAAUGGGGAAACCCGG
rnacentral:rRNA from 2 species